GGUUCGGCCGGGGCCCGGGCUCCGGCCCCGGGCGGUGUGUGGGGAGCGAUCUGUGUGUGGGGGACGGCGUGGAGGGGUGGCCGCUGCGUGUGCGGUACUGUGGGGGCGGCGGGGCCGCUGGGCGCCCCUUCUCCGCCUCGUAACCUCGCCUCUGUGCUUCCCUGUCGCCCGCCCUGUUCCUCCUCCCGUCCCGCAGCUCCGUGCCCGGGACCCUGCCAGCAGAGGAGACAGGUAUAUGCUGGUCACUUUCGAAGAGCCGCCCUAUGCUAUCAAGGCUGGAUGGAAAGAAAACCAUGCAACGUUUAUGAAUGAAUUGAAAAACCUUCAGGCUGAAGGACUUACGACUCUUGGCCAAUCCCUAAGGACAGCUUUUGAUUUAUUAAAUUUAAAUAGAUUAGUAACUGGCAUAGACAACUAUGGGCAGGGAAGAAACCCUUUUUUCUUGGAGCCAGCAAUAAUUAUCACAAUUACUGAUGGGAGCAAGUUGACUACCACCAGUGGAGUCCAGGAUGAGGUACUGGGGACACACAGAUGGAAUUAAGCAAGGCUAGAAAACGUAUUAUCUUUGAAGACAGGCAAGUAAAUAAACAUUUGUAAUACAU
rnacentral:lncRNA from 1 species